UUUCUCCAGAAGAAAUAGAGCCCACAGAGACGUAAUUAUUCAUUUUGUAAAGAAAAGGACCCGGGAUGAAAUCUUGAUGUCCAACAACCGAAACCCAAUGUAUUUUAAGGAAAAAAAGAUAAUAGUAUUAAAAGAAUUCCCUCAGGCAAUACUAAAUAGAAGAAGAAAAUAUUUCUUUCUGACGGAUGAGCUUAAAAGACAAAAAAUCCGCUUUAGAUGGGAAAGAAGCGAAGGGAUAAUGGUUACUUGGAAGGGAGAAAAGCACUGGCUGACUUCAGAGGAGAAGGCAAAGGAUUUUUUUCAAAAGCUGAAGCAAGAUAAGAAGGAAAAUGUGCCUAUACCACCAAGCCCUCCCUCAGUGAAAAGAAAGAAACCAAAGAGAGCUAGGCAUAUAUCACCUAAGGACUCUGAUUUAAAGGUAAAACUAAAUCCAACGGCAUCGGGCACAUCCGAUGUGGGAGAUGACAACGAAGAGGAAUCAGAAGAAAGGGAAGAUGAGGAUAUAGAGUCAGAAGAAGAAGACAAAAUGGAAGAAGAAAAUGUACCCCGGGCCCCAAGCGGUGCAGAAGGAACCGAUUAUGGUCCGCAAGAAUGACUUUCGCAAAGCAUUGGAAAAAUGAGGAGACGCCGAAGAAAAUUAGUUGGUUGAACAAACUGAAUGAAAUUCGAGACAUGGAUAAACUUACCUUUUUAUUGAGAACGACAAGAGGAAAAAGUAUUAGAGAAACUAACUGGGGAAAAAUGGAAGAAUAUCUUAACAAUUAUUAAUUUUGUAAUAUUAAUUAUGUAAUAGGUAUGAAUGAAUUUAUGCAAGUACGGUGAUUUAGGGUAUAGUUUAGAUAGGGAAGUGUGCUUCCCAAAGAAAGACAUUUCCGGGUAUUUCUUUUCUGUUUAUUAUUAUUUUACUGAAUUGUACGUUUUCCUUGUCCAACCCUCCAUCCCCCUCCCCCCCUUCCCAAUACUUAAUUCCCUCUUUUUCU
rnacentral:lncRNA from 11 species